rnacentral:rRNA from 1 species
GAUGAACGCUGGCGGCGUGCCUAAUACAUGCAAGUCGAGCGAACAGACGAGGAGCUUGCUCCUCUGACGUUAGCGGCGGACGGGUGAGUAACACGUGGAUAACCUACCUAUAAGACUGGGAUAACUUCGGGAAACCGGAGCUAAUACCGGAUAAUAUAUUGAACCGCAUGGUUCAAUAGUGAAAGACGGUUUUGCUGUCACUUAUAGAUGGAUCCGCGCCGCAUUAGCUAGUUGGUAAGGUAACGGCUUACCAAGGCGACGAUGCGUAGCCGACCUGAGAGGGUGAUCGACCACACUGGAACUGAGACACGGUCCAGACUCCUACGGGAGGCAGCAGUAGGGAAUCUUCCGCAAAGGGCGAAAGCCUGACGGAGCAACGCCGCGUGAGUGAUGAAGGUCUUCGGAUCGUAAAACUCUGUUAUUAGGGAAGAACAAAUGUGUAAGUAACUAUGCACGUCUUGACGGUACCUAAUCAGAAAGCCACGGCUAACUACGUG